GAUAACGAUGGACUCAGGACCACGUCCAUGAAGAUGGUGGACUCAGUACAAUACGAAUGAUUGAUAAUGGAUUGAGGACAACAGACAGGAAGAUGAGGACAACACACAUGAUAAUGAUGGACCUAGGACCACGUCCAUGAAGAUGGUGGACUCAGUACAAUACGAAUGAUUGAUAAUGGAUUGAGGACAACAGACAGGAAGAUGAGGACAACACACAUGAUAAUGAUGGACCUAGGACCACGUCCAUGAAGAUGGUGGACUCAGUACAAUACGA